rnacentral:lncRNA from 10 species
CGCACUGGGCUCCUGGAGCCCGCUGCAGCUUCCUUCGCUCUGGUGAGGUGAACCGCAGUCUGAGGAAGACUUCGCUCAAUCGUCCCUUUCCACACCCAGGGUACUGGUUUAAGACCUGUAUUUCCUUCUGCCUUGAGGACUUCGUUUAACAUUUGUCAGGCAAGGCUGCUGGUUCUUCAAGAAAUUUAUGCAGCACAGCUGAAGCCUCAUACAAGUGUAUCCAACACCGUGGCUGGAGGGAAAGAUAUCACGGUAUAAGCCAUAAAAUGUGACAUAGUAAGUAAGUAAAGGAGGAAAAGUGAGAAUUCUGUUACUCAUCUAAACGACCGCUUCCUUUUAAUAGUACCAAAU